rnacentral:rRNA from 1 species
GAUGAACGCUGGUGGCGUGCCUAAUACAUGCAAGUCGAGCGAACGGACGAGAAGCUUGCUUUUCUGAUGUUAGCGGCGGACGGGUGAGUAACACGUGGAUAACCUACCUAUAAGACUGGGAUAACUUCGGGAAACCGGAGCUAAUACCGGAUAAUAUUUUGAACCGCAUGGUUCAAAAGUGAAAGACGGUCUUGCUGUCACUUAUAGAUUGAUCCGCGCUGCAUUAGCUAGUUGGUAAGGUAACGGCUUACCAAGGCAACGAUGCAUAGCCGACCUGAGAGGGUGAUCGGCCACACUGGAACUGAGACACGGUCCAGACUCCUACGGGAGGCAGCAGUAGGGAAUCUUCCGCAAUGGGCGAAAGCCUGACGGAGCAACGCCGCGUGAGUGAUGAAGGUCUUCGGAUCGUAAAACUCUGUUAUUAGGGAAGAACAUAUGUGUAAGUAACUGUGCACAUCUUGACGGUACCUAAUCAGAAAGCCACGGCUAACUACGUG